UCUUCUUUGCUCUUCCUUCAAUGCCGU
rnacentral:sRNA from 1 species